CCGAGUGUUUGGAUGCCCCUUCUCGGGGUGUCCGUCCUCCCAUCCGUGUCUAUUUGUACCCUGUUGCUUCGGCGGGCCCGCCCUUCGUGGCCGCCGGGGGCUUCCCUGCCCCCGGGCCCGUGCCCGCCGGAGACCUCAACCAUGAACACUGUCUGAAGGUUGCAGUCUGAGUACCGAUAUAAAAAUCGUUA
rnacentral:misc_RNA from 1 species